rnacentral:rRNA from 1 species
UACGUAGGGGGCAAGCGUUGUCCGGAUUCAUUGGGCGUAAAGAGCGUGUAGGCGGCCAGAUAGGUCAGCUGUGAAAACUCGGGGCUCAACCCUGAGACGUCGGUUGAAACCAUCUGGCUAGAGUCCGGAAGAGGAGUGUGGAAUUCCCGGUGUAGCGGUGAAAUGCGCAGAUAUCGGGAAGAACACCCGUGGCGAAGGCGGCGCUCUGGGACGGUACUGACGCUGAGACGCGAAAGCGUGGGGAGCGAACAGG